rnacentral:rRNA from 1 species
CAGUCGAGCGGACGGAUGGGAGCUUGCUCCCUGAAGUCAGCGGCGGACGGGUGAGUAACACGUGGGCAACCUGCCUGUAAGACUGGGAUAACUUCGGGAAACCGGAGCUAAUACCGGAUAAUGCAUAACCUCUCAUGAGGCUAUGCUGAAAGAUGGUUUCGGCUAUCACUUACAGAUGGGCCCGCGGCGCAUUAGCUAGUUGGUGAGGUAACGGCUCACCAAGGCAACGAUGCGUAGCCGACCUGAGAGGGUGAUCGGCCACACUGGGACUGAGACACGGCCCAGACUCCUACGGGAGGCAGCAGUAGGGAAUCUUCCGCAAUGGACGAAAGUCUGACGGAGCAACGCCGCGUGAGUGAUGAAGGUUUUCGGAUCGUAAAACUCUGUUGUCAGGGAAGAACAAGUGCCGGAGUAACUGCCGGCACCUUGACGGUACCUGACCAGAAAGCCACGGCUAACUACGUGCCAGCAGCCGCGGUAAUACGUAGGUGGCAAGCGUUGUCCGGAAUUAUUGGGCGUAAAGCGCGCGCAGGCGGUCUCUUAAGUCUGAUGUGAAAGCCCACGGCUCAACCGUGGAGGGUCAUUGGAAACUGGGGGACUUGAGUGCAGAAGAGGAAAGUGGAAUUCCACGUGUAGCGGUGAAAUGCGUAGAGAUGUGGAGGAACACCAGUGGCGAAGGCGACUUUCUGGUCUGUAACUGACGCUGAGGCGCGAA